rnacentral:rRNA from 1 species
UGGGGAAUAUUGGACAAUGGGGGAAACCCUGAUCCAGCAAUGCCGCGUGUGUGAAGAAGGCCUUCGGGUUGUAAAGCACUUUCAGUGGGGAGGAAGGGUGUGAUGCUAAUAUCAUCAUGCAUUGACGUUACCCACAGAAGAAGCACCGGCUAACUCUGUGCCAGCAGCCGCGGUAAUACAGAGGGUGCGAGCGUUAAUCGGAAUUACUGGGCGUAAAGGGUGUGUAGGUGGUUGUGUAAGUUAGAUGUGAAAUCCCUGGGCUCAACCUGGGAACUGCGUUUAAAACUGCAUAGCUAGAGUACUGUAGAGGAUAGUGGAAUUUCCAGUGUAGCGGUGAAAUGCGUAGAUAUUGGAAGGAACACCAGUGGCGAAGGCGACUAUCUGGAUAGAUACUGACACU